rnacentral:rRNA from 1 species
UACGAAGGGGGCUAGCGUUGUUCGGAAUACUGGGCGUAAAGCGUGCGCAGGCGGCUUCUCAAGUCAGGGGUGAAAGCCCAGAGCUCAACUCUGGAAUUGCCUUUGAGACUGAGUGGCUUGAGUACGAGAGAGGUGAGUGGAAUUCCCAGUGUAGAGGUGAAAUUCGUAUGGAUAUUGGGAAGAACACCGGUGGCGAAGGCGGCUCACUGGCUCGUAACUGACGCUCAUGCACGACAGCGUGGGGAUCAAACAGG